GAGCACAGGGAGCGAGUCCCAAAGGGCAUGGGUGUGCCCACAGCUGAGAUCUGAGGACCCACCCUGACCACCACAAGAGGGCAAUAGGAGAUAGGGAGCAUCCGGGAGGGAACGAAAACCACGUUGCCUGGGAGACUGCGGUUCCCUCAGGACCUACACUUUUACUGAAAACCGGAAGCUUUCUUAACUUGCUGCUAACAACCAUUCCCUGAUACAAGGAGCCCAGCAUGGCAGCCUCUGGAAUACAGAAAAGGGUUAAAGGAUAACAGAAAAUACUGAGGAAUAACGUACAGAGGAAAGUGGAGAUGGAUAUCAUGGCAUACAUCUACAACCUUAAGGUCCUAUCUCUAUUUCUGUUCUUACUGCUGUCCUUUCAGAUGUGCUCUUAGUAUGGAUUGCAACUGCAAUAUAAACAGACAAACGUUUGAUUAUCUGGCCAAAUGCUACUCCUGAUCACCUCAGAAAAAGACUUCUCCUGAGUAACUACUACUAUCAACAAUCAGAGGACCUAGCAGAAUGCAGUUUACAAGACUUCAGCAGUACAUGCCAGCAGGACACCCAGCAGUCAGGAAGGCAUGAUGUAAUGUCAUCCAAGCCAGUGAACCCAGAAGAUGGCCCAAGCACCUGCGUGCGCAGAUCCAAGCCUCCAUCUUCUGUUGCCAAGCAUCUCCCACCACUCAGCUAGCAUUGCCUGGAGAAGGAGCAGACUGAAUUGGAGGGCGUUUGUAAGAUUAAGCUGAGUUACCCACAACCAACUGCAUCAGAAGACGCUGGGGUACUUCUCAAAUUUAAUCUUCCCCCUGCUCUAUAGCAAGGUGGGGAAAAUUAGACUAGUUAUAGGAUAUAAAUAAGCUACA